CGACGACGGGAGGGGUAAAAUAUAGCAAAGUGGGCCUAAACAAUUAAUGUAAUGAACAGAGUGAAUUUUGUUGAAUUAAUAAAUUGAUUUAUAUCCGUAAUCGUACGUUCAUAGUACUGUGAUAUUUCGAGAAAUGUGAUCUAACGAAGUGAGAAAUGUGUUUGGGAAUAAUGAAGAAGAGUAAAUCCAGUUGACAACCUAUGAAUGGAGUUAUCGCAGCCAUUGGCAAGUGCAGUGAUCAUCUGGACACAUCACAUUUACAAUGGGUUACGGAAUAAAUAAUUUUUUACAUAAACCUUCUCUAAAGAUGAGUUGAAGGCGAAGUGAAAAUCAGGCUAUAUAAUUUGCAAAUACUGUUUUGCAACUAUGAAACAGUAGCCGGAAUAUUAAUGCGACGUAUGAAUUGUAAAUAUAACCCUCCAAUCAUAUCAACUAUUAAUUUUAAAUUGCCCUUGUGGAUAGACACACUCAGUUGUAAAAAAAAAGACGUAUGAAUUAUAGGCAUAUUCAUGUAAUGACGAUAAUUAUUACUUUUAAAUCCCAGUUAUUAAUAUAAUGUUAAAAUUGUGAAUAAGACGUACGAAUUGUAGAUAAAAUUCU